rnacentral:tRNA from 1 species
AGUCAUGUGGCCGAGUGGUUAGGUGGGGGUCUGCAAAACCUUAAACGGUGGUUCGAAUCCACCCUUGACGUCCA